rnacentral:snRNA from 1 species
UUCUGGGUUAAGAUAAUGUCGAA